rnacentral:rRNA from 1 species
CACAAGCGGUGGAGCAUGUGGUUAAUUCGACGCAACGCGCAGAACUUACCUGGUCUUGACAUCUACGGAACCCUCUCGAAACGGAGGGUGCCUUUCGGGGAGCCGUAAGACAGGUGCUGCAUGGCUGUCGUCAGCUCGUGUCGUGAGAUGUUGGGUUAAGUCCCGCAACGAGCGCAACCCCCUAUCCUCAGUUGCCAUCAUUAAGUUGGGCACUCUGUGGAGACUGCCGGUGUCAAACCGGAGGAAGGUGGGGAUGACGUCAAGUCCUCAUGGCCCUUAUGACCAGGGCUACACACGUGCUACAAUGGCCGGUACAAAGGGCAGCGACACAGCGAUGUGAAGCGAAUCCCGAAAAGCCGGUCUCAGUCCGGAUUGGAGUCUGCAACUCGACUCCAUGAAGUUGGAAUCGCUAGUAAUCGCGGAUCAGCACGCCGCGGUGAAUACGUUCCCGGGCCUU